CACGUAGGCACCAAGCGUUAUCCGGAUUUAUUGGGCGUAAAGAGCUCGUAGGCGGUUCGGUAAGUCGGGUGUGAAAACUCUGGGCUCAACCCAGAGAGGCCACCCGAUACUGCUGUGACUAGAGUGCGGUAGGGGAGCGGGGAAUUCCUGGUGUAGCGGUGAAAUGCGCAGAUAUCAGGAAGAACACCUAUGGCGAAGGCAGCACUCUGGGACGGUACUGACGCUGAGACGCGAAAGCGUGGGGAGCGAACAGG
rnacentral:rRNA from 1 species